UAGCCUAGUGGUUAAGGCUAUGGAUCGGCAAUCUGGAGACGGCGGGUUCGAUUCCCGU
rfam:Aedes albopictus isolate Foshan contig43152, whole genome shotgun sequence.